GAUCUUUAUUUUUAUUUUUUAUAAAUAAAAAAGAAUUAAAUUUUUUAUAAAAAAACUAAAAAUUUUACUGGGGUGGUAUUAAAAUUUAAUAAACUUUUAAAAAUUUUUUACAUUAAUAUAUGAAUAUUUGAUCCAAUUAUAUUGAUUAAAAAAUUAAGUUACCUUAGGGAUAACAGCGUAAUUUUUUUUUAGAGUUCUUAUCAACAAAAAAGAUUGC
rnacentral:rRNA from 1 species